GGAUGAAGAAGCAGCUGGAGUACGAGCGGCAGGUGGCCACCAUUCGAGCGGCCGCGGUUGCCGCCGACGGCGACUUCUCGGUGUCCCAGGCCGAGCUCUCGUCCCGCCAGGCCAUGCUGGAGAACGCCUCCGACAUCAAGCUGGAGAAGUUCAGGGGCUCCGUGGAGGAGUUGGAUGCC